GGAAAGGUGCUCGAGUGGUUGAAGAGGCACGCCUGGAAAGCGUGUAAACGCCUAAAGCGUUUCGGGGGUUCGAAUCCCCCUCUUUCCG
rfam:Prevotella sp. CAG:891 genomic scaffold, scf419